GAUGCCGCCGGACCUGACACGAAGGAGCGUUUGCCGAGUAUGUCUCGAAAGGGAUGUCACGAUUUCGUGAGACGGAGGCAUCUCUGCACCACAUGGGAGCCUGUGGCAAAAUGCAGUCUGAGCAGCCCGACAAGGAAUCUGAUCUGCUUGCUUUGACAAGGUAUGGCUGGGCCUGCAGAGAAAGUGUAAGCAGACUGUGCUG